AACUUUUCCACCCCAACACACACUGCUUGCAGCAGCCGACAGCAAGUAUCAGUAGUAGUACAGCUUAGAGUAUCAGUAAUAGUAGUAUCAGUAGUAGUACAGCUUAGAGUAUCAGUAAUAGUAGUAUCAGUAGUAGUAGUAUCAGUAGUAGUAGUAUCCGUAAUAGUAGUAUCUGUAGUAGUACAGCUUAGAGUAUCAGUAAUAGUAUCAGUAGUAGUAGUAUCAGUAGUAGUAGUAUCAGUAAUAGUAGUAUCAGUAGUAGUACAGUUUAGAGUAUCAGUAAUAGUAUCAGUAGUAGUAGUAUCAGUAGUACAGAUUAGAGUAUCAGUAAUAGUAGUAUCAGUAGUAGUACAGUUUAGAGUAUCAGGAGCAGUGGUAUCAGUAUUAAUAGUAUCAGUAGUAGUACAGCUUAGAGUACCAGUAAUAGUAGUAUCAGUAGUAGUACAGCUUAGAGUAUCAGUAAUAGUAGUAUCAGUAGUAGUACAGCUUAGAGUAUCAGUAAUAGUAGUAUCAGUAGUAGUACAUCUUAGAGUAUCAGUAAUAGUAUCAGUAGUAGUAGUAUCAGUAGUAGUAGUAUCAGUAGUAGUAGUAUCAGUAGUAGUAUAGCUUAGAGUAUCAGUAAUAGUAGUAUCAGUAGUAGUAGUAUCAGUAAUAGUAGUAUCAGUAGUAGUAAAGCUUAGAGUAUCAGUAAUAGUAGUAUCAGCAGUAGUAGUAUCAGUAGUAGUACAGCUUAGAGUAUCAGUAUUAGCAGUAUCAGUAAUAGUAGUAUCAGUAGUAGUAGUAUCAGUAGUAGUAGUAUCAGUAACAGCAGUAUCAGUAAUAGUAGUAUCAGUAGUAGUACAGAUUAUAGUAUCAGUAAUAGUAGUAUCAGUAGUAGUAGUAUCAGUAGUAGUAUCAGUAGGAGUCGUAUCAGUAAUAGUAGUAUCAGUAAUAGUAUCAGUGGUAGUAGUAUCAGUAAUAGUAGUAUCAGUAGUAGUAGUAUCAGUAGUAGUAGUAUCGGUACUAGUAGUAUCAGUAGUAGUAGUAUCAGUCAUAGUAGUAUCAGUAAUAGUAGUAUCAGUAGUAGUAGUAUCAGUAACAGCAGUAUCAGUAAUAGUAGUAUCAGUAGUAGUACAGAUUAGAGUAUCAGUAAUAGUAGUAUCAGUAGUAGUAGUAUCAGUAGUAGUAUCAGUAGUAGUCGUAUCAGUAAUAGUAGUAUCAGUAAUAGUAGUAUCAGUAAUAGUAUCAGUGGUAGUAGUAUCAAUAAUAGUAGUAUCAGUACUACUAGAAUCAGUAAUAGUAGUAUCAGUAAUAGUAGUAUCAGUGGUAGUAGUAUCAGUAAUAGUAGUAUCAGUACUAGUAGUAUCAGUAAUAGUAGUAAUAGUAGUACCAGUAGUAGUAGUAUCAGUAAUAGUAGUAUCAGUAAUAGUAGUAUCAGUAAUAGUAGUAUCAGUGGUAGUAGUAUCAGUAAUAGUAGUAUCAGUACUAGUAGUAUCAGUAAUAGUAGUAAUAGUAGUAUCAGUAAUAGUAGUAUCAGUAAUAGUAGUAUCAGUACUAGUAGUAUCAGUAGUAGUAGUAUCAGUACUAGUAGUAUCAGUAGUAGUAGUAUCAGUAAUAGUAGUAUCAGUACUAGUAGUAUCAGUAGUAGUAGUAUCAGUAGUAGUAGUAUCAGUAGUAGUAGAGUAUCAGUAAUAGUAGUAUCAGUAGUAGUAGUAUCAGUAGUAGUACUUAUUACUAGUAUCAGUAAUAAUAGUAUCAGUGGUAGUAGUAUCAGUAGUAGUAGUAUCAGUACUAGUAGUAUCAGUAAUAGUAGUAAUAGUAGUAUCAGUAGUAGUAGUAUCAGUAAUAGUAGUAUCAGUACUAGUAGUAUCAGUAGCAGAGGUAUCAGUAGUAGUAGCAUCAGU
ensembl:lncRNA